AGUUUGAUCAUGGCUCAGAGCGAACGUUAGCGGCGGGCUUAACACAUGCAAGUCGAGCGAGAAAGGGGACUUCGGUCCCUGAGUAAAGCGGCGGACGGGUGAGUAACACGUGGGUAAUCUACCCUUCAGCGGGGGACAACAAUCCGAAAGGGUUGCUAAUACCGCAUACGUCACGGAGCAUCGCGGUGCUCGGUGGGAAAGCUGGCCUCUGUUUCAAGCUGGCACUGAAGGAGGAGCCCGCGGCGCAUCAGCUUGUUGGUGGGGUAAAGGCCUACCAAGGCGAAGACGCGUAGCUGGUCUGAGAGGAUGAUCAGCCACACUGGGACUGAGACACGGCCCAGACUCCUACGGGAGGCAGCAGUGGGGAAUAUUGGACAAUGGGCGAAAGCCUGAUCCAGCCACGCCGCGUGAGUGAUGAAGGCCCUCGGGUCGUAAAGCUCUGUGGAGAGGGACGAACCCUUCCGGGUUAAUACCCCGGAAGCUGACGGUACCUCUUUAGCAAGCACCGGCUAACUCCGUGCCAGCAGCCGCGGUAAUACGGAGGGUGCAAACGUUGCUCGGAAUCAUUGGGCGUAAAGCGCACGUAGGCGGCCCGGUAAGUCGGAUGUGAAAGCCCUCGGCUCAACCGAGGAAGUGCAUUCGAAACUGCCGGGCUUGAGUACUGGGAGAGGGUUGCGGAAUUCCCGGU
rnacentral:rRNA from 1 species